rnacentral:rRNA from 1 species
AUUGAACGCUGGCGGCAUGCUUUACACAUGCCAGUCGAACGGUAACAGGCCGCAAGGUGCUGACGAGUGGCGAACGGGUGAGUAAUGCAUCGGAACGUGCCCAGUCGUGGGGGAUAACUACUCGAAAGAGUAGCUAAUACCGCAUACGAUCUAUGGAUGAAAGCGGGGGACCGUAAGGCCUCGCGCGAUUGGAGCAGCCGAUGUCAGAUUAGGUAGUUGGUGGGGUAAAGGCUCACCAAGCCAACGAUCUGUAGCUGGUCUGAGAGGACGACCAGCCACACUGGGACUGAGACACGGCCCAGACUCCUACGGGAGGCAGCAGUGGGGAAUUUUGGACAAUGGGCGCAAGCCUGAUCCAGCAAUGCCGCGUGCAGGAAGAAGGCCUUCGGGUUGUAAACUGCUUUUGUACGGAACGAAACGGCUCUGGUUAAUACCCGGGGAUAAUGACGGUACCGGAAGAAUAAGCACCGGCUAACUACGUG